rnacentral:rRNA from 1 species
CUACGGGAGGCAGCAGUGAGGAAUAUUGCACAAUGGGGGGAACCCUGAUGCAGCAACGCCGCGUGAGGAUGACGCAUUUCGGUGUGUAAACUCCUUUUAUAUGUCAAGAAAAUGACGGUAGCAUAUGAAUAAGCACCGGCUAACUCUGUGCCAGCAGCCGCGGUAAUACGGAGGGUGCAAGCGUUACUCGGAAUCACUGGGCGUAAAGGACGCGUAGGCGGGUUGGAAAGUCAGGUGUGAAAUCCUACAGCUUAACUGUAGAACUGCACUUGAAACUUCUAAUCUAGAGUAUGGGAGGGGGAGAUGGAAUUAGUGGUGUAGGGGUAAAAUCCGUAGAUAUCACUAGGAAUACCUAAAGCGAAGGCGAUCUCCUGGAACACUACUGACGCUAAGGCGUGAAAGCGUGGGGAGCAAACAGGAUUAGAUACCCUUGUAGUC